rnacentral:rRNA from 1 species
GUCCACGCCGUAAACGUUGGGCGCUAGGUAUGGGGCUCUUUCCACGAGUUCCGUGCCGCAGCUAACGCAUUAAGCGCCCCGCCUGGGGAGUACGGCCGCAAGGCUAAAACUCAAAGGAAUUGACGGGGGCCCGCACAAGCGGCGGAGCAUGCGGAUUAAUUCGAUGCAACGCGAAGAACCUUACCAAGGCUUGACAUGGGCAGAAAUCCGGCAGAGAUGUCGGGUCCGUAAGGGCUGCUCACAGGUGGUGCAUGGUUGUCGU